rnacentral:rRNA from 1 species
CGACCUGAAGCUACUGCCAUGUGGUGGUCUUCUACGAACCUCUUCUUUUAAUUCAUCAGUCCGAUUAUCUGACUUCCUCAAGUUACAAUGCAAGUCUCUUCGUAAAUUUUACUACUUCGAACCAGAGGCCGAAACCAGUAUACAAGCUCUUCUUCGAAGAGUACCUUCCUUUCGUGGCUAACUAGGUAAGUGCUCCCUCUCGUAGUUUGGUAGUCGGAGUGUUCCUCAUGGGGAACCACCCUACCCCUGACCAUCGUAUAUCUCCAAAAUCUCCCCUCAAGUUUGUAACCGUCUAUUCGGGACCAAGUACACUAUACAGUGCUCACUACCUUUUGGUUAAAAGUCAUUGACUCUGGAAAAUGGGACGAUUUUGUACAAUAUAGGAGUUUCUAAAUCGAAAAAGAGUCAAAGUAAUAAAAAGGAACGAAGAUUAUGUAUAACAAUACCUAGGGUUAUAACUUGUUAUAAUUGUUAUAAAAUACUACUUAGAUAACUCCACAUGUACAACUAUAUACAUAAGAUAUAUUAACAAUGUAUAACUUUUACCGUAGUACUAAAACCUAACAACUCCAAACUACUUUUGAGUGAACAAGGUAUGAUUUUUGUUUACGGGAACUUCUAAUAAGACGGAGUACACAAUUCAAUAAAAAAGUACUGGUACUCACAAUUCAUUCGAAACACUACAUAGAAAUAGAUGUGAGAAUUCAAUAGAUGUUCACAGUUUGGUUCGUCACGUACUAAAACGAUUUUCAUAUUAAAGAAUGGAUUUUGUGUGGAGAGUAAAAAAAUUAGUAAGACAAGAAUUAAGUGGCGUCUAGAAAUAUUCAUCUCUUCCUACUUUGUUUUUCAUGAGGAGUCAAAAUCGAGGACCAGUCGUACUACCAAAUUUCAUACAAAAAAAACGGGACAGUCUGUUGUCUAAGAAUUAAAGGACUUUAAAAGAGAUACCUACAAGUUACCUACGUUUAGACCUUACAAGAGAAGCCAGAAACAUACAGUCUUAUAUAUAUCGUCAGUACUGUGUCAUGUUGUUGUUGUUGUCAAGGAAAGUCAGGGUUUGUUCAACCCCAUCCGAUCUCAACUUUGGGUAUUAUAGAGCAGUACCAAGACCGUGUACCUAUCGAUUGAAGGUACGCGGGGACAGGUGCGGUUUCGUUCUUUUUUCAUGAUGUCCUCUAAACUACAUGUCCACUAGUGACUUCGUUUCUUUUCAUGUCCUCAAGACCACGGUCUAACAAGUGUGUUGUAUAGGAACGGUGAAGAUGUCCACACCUCUCAAACCCAAGCCUUCAAUCACCCACCCUCGCCUCCUUCCUUUCCCCUCUUUCUACACGAAAGGAGCAACGUUACGUGCCCGUUAAUUGAUAUAACGAUUAUUCCGAGGUGAUGAUAACGUCCACUUCGCUGUUGGUUCAAAGGUUCAAAUACAGUCUGAUGUUCUCUUCCCCCAAAUCAUAAAAGAACUACCGUGUACAACCUUCCAGACGUCCUCCACGGAAACUCCUGAACGAGCAGGCAAGCCAUGGUAGCAGAAAGGUUCUCGGGUGUAAAGACGUACAUAUAUAAACAACAUGUCGGAUACGACCAAACGGACGUUAUUAUUAAUAGUUUUCCCUUAUACGUCGUCGGCUUAAGAGAGCUGCAAGUAAAACAGUACACGAAUUCGUUUGGCACGCACGGUAUAAGGAGUUCUCCACUUCUCCUGUCCUUCUGUGUACACGAUUUCGUUUUUUUAUUUAUCUUUUCGUCAUAUAAUCCUUAGAUGGGGAAUCGAAUUAAAUGUUCAACACACUCACGAGUAUAUAACCAUAAUAAGAG